CAAGAGCUUGCAACGAGAAAGUCUACGAGCCUUUGCAAGGAAGACGAUGAUUCUUCUUUCCACGACCACCAGGAGAAGACCCCACUGCUCACUGUGCACGAGCAAGAGGGAGAGACCAUAUGCUGAUGUGUUCUUGGAAAUGUAGUGAGGUUUGAUUUCCACAAAUCAAUUUGGCGACCCAGAUGGGACAACCUCUGUUCAGCUGCGGGAUUUGCUGAGAGGGUGGACGGCUUUGGUGUGCCCUGAGAUUUCUCAGAAGUACUCCCUCAUCUGAUCACUGCAAGAACAGACAAGGACCAUCCAUCGAUGAACCAGGGUCAAGAGCUUGCAACGAGAAAGUCUACGAGCCUUUGCAAGGAAGACGAUGAUUCUUCUUUCCACGACCACCAGGAGAAGACCCCACUGCUCACUGUGCACGAGCAAGAGGGAGAGACCAUAUGCUGAUGUGUUCUUGGAAAUGUAGUGAAGUGCUCAGAACUGUGUCUGAUGUUAUUCAUCCUCCUGCACCUCUGAAGUGUGAAAAUCUGAAGUUCUCUGGGAUUCUCCAAACCUGUUUCUAAAGUUCAGAUUCACUGUGAAACAUUCAGGGAUGGGACUAUAACGUAGAAAGUUUAGUCUGCUGAUUGGUCUGCAGUAUAGAACAAAUUCCACACCCACUUCCUUCUUCUUCCUGGAAAUACAUGUCUCUUUGCAAAUGUGAAAUAUGUGAUUGUCAGCUGAAGGUUAGAUGCUGAGUAGCACACACUCAUGGAAGCUUUAAAGGAUAUAAUGAAAAGCAGCUUCACUACAAACCUCAGCAUGUUUACAACCAAGAUUAAGGGCAGUGUUUUGAGGCUGAUUUAGAGAAGGUGAAAAGUAAAGUAAAAUGCUGAAUUACUCAUUCAGAAGAAGGCAAUAAUAAGUGAAUCAAUAAUCAUGAUCUCAGAUGCUGCUAGAGGUUUUUGAAUGGCCCUUAUGGGUACCAUCCUUCAGAUGAGUCCCAGUUACUAAGCACAGCAUGCAUUUCACAUGCUGCAAAACUACUUUUUGUAAGUGAGAUGGUCACUAUUGGCACUUCAGAGUCUAAACACCAAAAUUAGCAUUUUGUGCAAAAUGUUAAUUUGAUUUUGAGAUUAUGUGUCUUUCCCACUUCACAGCAAUUGCCUGGUCUAAAUGAUCAUGGUCUCCAUCUCUCUAUGCUAAUGAAUGUUACAUUUAUAUUUGUAUUUGCAUUUAUGUCUUUUUUUUCAUGGCUGUGGAGCUUCAAACAAAAGAUGACCUGAACUUUCAGAGCCCACAUACCUGACUGAUUAUUUGAGGUUCAGACCAGACUAUCUCCUGGAUGAAAUAUGUUCAAGAAGGCUUUCUUUAAAAAAACUGUCAAGUCAGCAUUCACUGUUACUGGGAUCCUGAUGACUUGGGCUGUGAUUCUCCAUUUAAAUCUGAUGGAGUCCCUGAAGGUUUUAGCACAUCUACAUAAAGGGAAUUGGACUUCAUUUUCUGUGGUCUUGGUCUUAGGACAGAAAACAGUCUUCAGGCUGCCUCUUUGUGGGGAACAUAAUUGAGGAUCCAGUGUAUUUCACUUUUAUUGGUUAGGAAAAGAAGCCAUAAAAAAAAGUAGUCUAUUCCUUGGGAUUUUAUGAUGUCAUUUCAAUGAAGUUAGAUGUUAACUACUUGCAUGAAACACUUUUUAAUGGAACACAGUU